GGAGACAACAAUAAUAUAACAUCACCUCUAUUCGAUCAAAAAGGGGGACGCACAAUCAGAGAGUAGGCGAUCAAGAGAAAAAAAAGUUUAUUGGAUCGAGCUUCAAGAUUGGGAUUUAAGAUUCGGGUCGAUUAGGCAACGAGUUAUUGUUCGGCGACUUGUUCGAUUGAUUAGAUGUUCAUCAGGGCACAGGAAUACAUUAAGUUAUCGCAGGAAAGAAUGGUUUGUCUGUAGCGGUAAUCAUUGAGGCUGAAGAUUUGGUGAAACUAUCAGAGCCUUGCGAUUUGGAUAAAUCUUUUGCAAUUAGCCAAUCAAUACAAGAUGACGGAGUUAAAGGUGGAUUAAUUGCUUUAUACAGGAACAUCUAGAAAGCUGUGGAAGUUAAUUCAUCAAACAAGAAUAUUACACUUAUAAUUGAUGAUAAUUCUCUUCUGGAAGUGGCUGCUAAUGGUUCUACAAAAGACAUUCUAAAUUUGAUGCAUUACUACCAUACAUUAACCACACAAUUUAGCGUUGUACAAUAAUUACUGAUCUUCAUGAGGACAUUUAUUCAAGUGGAGAUGGAUUUACAUUUCCUUUACAAAUGGAGUACCUUGCUGACAUCACCAUAAACUGAGCCUUUGAUAACCGGGUUGGCAGCAGAUGUUCACGCUUUUGUAGCGUUUAGAUUGAUUUGAGUGUGUGAGUUAGGACAGGCCAACACUUUUACAGAAUUUUAGUGAGAUAUGAUGGAUCCAGAAGACCUACAAUCAGACCUACUUGCUUUGAGAAGGUUAUAUAGGCUUCUUGUACAAGAUGAACACUAUAUAGAAGAUGAAGCCUCAGAAAAUUUGUAGUUGUAGCAUUAAAUCUGUGUUCAUACGAUAACGCAAGACGUUUAUUAAUAAAUUCACUUGAUGCUGCUGCGAAUAAAACUUUCGAUGCUCAUGCAAAGAUUCUAGAUGCUCAAAUUAAGCAACGAAUAGCUUGUGGUCAACGCCGCAAGGGCCAUCUAGAGACGGGCUAAAUCUGCGAUCAUUUUCAAUGGGAAAAGCACCAACUAAUGCUGCUUAUGUUGACCUUUUAACUGGUGAUUGGAAUUUCAGUGAGUCAACUGAUCAAGCAGACCUUGCAGGUGAUCCUGGCACCAGAAUCAAAUGAUGCCGGGUGUAUUUCUGUAAGACUGACCAAAACUAAAGACCAGGACAAAAUAGAAGUGUUAAUGGUAUUUUCACCAAACCAUGAUGACAUGGUAUUCCCUAAGGGGUACAAUACAUUCCUGGUGGUAAGAUUCAAAAACUCGAGCAGUGUGCAGCUACGCUUCUUAUAGGCUGCAGUUGUGGUUCUCUAUCUUUAAACGGCUCAUACACUCGAAAAAGGGCUCCAUUGCAUUAUAUGUUUGCUCAGGCUGAAUACAAGACUGUGAAGAAAGCAGCAAUGGUUUUUUCUUCUCAAUAACGAUUACAUUUGGGAUCGCUCUUGGGAUCGCGUUGUCGAAGACAUACAAAGAGAAUAGCCCAAGUUCAUUAAUCAUAGUUGGUUUACUCAACGCUUCAUCAGCUAGACUUCUUUAUCUACAUGGCAGUGGUCGAUUUCAAAUUAAGUCUUAUGCAACCGUCUUACCAGGAAACGACAUAGAUGUUAUCGAACAUAACGAGCCAAUUGCGAGCUUGGAGAGAAUUAGGGAAUAAGAGAUUCCUAGGGACACUAACCCAUUGGCGAUUGUGGCGGAUAAUAAUCUGAGAGUGGCAUCUUUAGAGAGAAUGCACUAGGCGUUGCAAGAUGACGCGAAGCUAGCGUCUUCAACUGUCUCAAUAGCAGCUGCUACUUCUGUUGCUAAAGUGGCUGCAGCUGCUGCUAAAAUCGCAUCAGACGUUGCUGAAACAAGCAAGAUUGAUUGAUUUCAAAACACUAUUGGGUUAAAACAGUGUUUGAAACCACUGUUGGUUUCUUGGAUUUUUUUUAAAAAAAUUAAAAUAUAUUUCUGUGGUUUUUUCAUUAUGUGAAACAAAUGUUGAUGUUUUUUGUUUUUGCUAAAUUUAAAUGCUAUAGGUGUUGGAGAUCGGGCCCACAAUCAAGUGGGACAAAGGCAAGGCUCUUGAGUUUUUGUUAGAGUCACUUGGUGUUGUUCCUAUGUCAAGACGAUGAAAGUCAGAGACAUUUAGAGCACAGUACAUUGAUGCAAAAGAACUCAAUGUCUGUUAGUACAUGGAAUGUUGCUGGGAAACUGCCACCAACUUUGGAUGUUUGUUUUUCCUUUUGUAAUAUUUGUUUUUGAAACAGAGAGGUUACAAAUAGAGGUUAGGAUUUCAAACAGUGGUAUGAGAAACAUAUGUUUGAAACCUCUGUUUGGUUACAAACAGAGUCUUGAGAAAGUGAUUUGGCGAAACAGAGAUUACCUUUUACCAACAGUGGUUGACUUUAGUCAAACAGAUUUUACAUACCUCAAACAAAUGAUACACUCUUUUGAAACCUAAAAUCUGU
rnacentral:lncRNA from 1 species